rnacentral:rRNA from 1 species
UACAGAGGUCUCAAGCGUUUGUUCGGAUUCAUUGGGCGUAAAGGGUGUGUAGGUGGCGCGCUAAGUCGGGUGUGAAAUUUCGGAGCUUAACUCCGAAACUGCAUUCGAUACUGGCGUGCUUGAGGACUGGAGAGGAGACUGGAAUUCAUGGUGUAGCAGUGAAAUGCGUAGAGAUCAUGAGGAAGACCAGUGGCGAAGGCGGGUCUCUGGACAGUUCCUGACACUGAGGAGCGAAAGCAUGGGGAGCGAACAGG